rnacentral:rRNA from 1 species
GAUGAACGCUGGCGGCGUGCUUAACACAUGCAAGUCGAACGGAAAGGCCCCGCCUUGGUGGGGUGCUCGAGUGGCGAACGGGUGAGUAACACGUGAGUAACCUGCCCUGGACUUCGGGAUAACUCUAGGAAACUGGGUCUAAUACCGGAUAGGAGCUCCUGCUGCAUGGUGGGGGUGGGAGAGUUUCGGCGGUUGGGGAUGUACUCGCGGCUUAUCAGCUUGUUGGUGGGGUAGUGGCUUACCAAGGCGUUGACGGGUAGCCGGCCUGAGAGGGUGACCGGCCACAUUGGGACUGAGAUACGGCCCAGACUCCUACGGGAGGCAGCAGUGGGGAAUAUUGCACAAUGGGCGGAAGCCUGAUGCAGCGACGCCGCGUGCGGGAUGACGGCCUUCGGGUUGUAAACCGCUUUCGCCUGUGACGAAGCGUGAGUGACGGUAAUGGGUGAAGAAGCACCGGCUAACUACGUG